rnacentral:lncRNA from 1 species
CAGUCCUCCCAGAAAAAGAGCUGCGUGGAAGAGCCGGAGCCGAAGGCCGACGCCGCUGAGGGUGACGGCGAUAAGAAGGGGAACGCAGAGGGCAGCAGCGACGAGGAAGGGAAGCUGGUCAUCGACGAGCCGACCAAGGAGAAGAAUGAGAAGGGGGCGCUGAAGAGGAGAGCAGGAGACCUGCUGGAGGACUCCCCCAAACGUCCCAAGGAGGCAGAAGACCCCGAAGGCGAGGAGAAGGAGGUGGCCACCUUGGAGGGUGAAAGGCCCCUUCCAGUGGAGGCAGAGAAGAACAGCACCCCUUCUGAGCCCAGCUCUGGCCGGGGGCCUCCUCCGGAGGAAGAAGAGGAAGAAGAAGAAGAAGAAGAAGAAGAGGCCACCAAGGAAGAUGCUGAGGCCCCGGGCAUCAGAGAUCAUGAGAGCCUGUAGCCACCAAUGUUUCAAGAGGAGCCCCCGCCCCGUUCCUGCUGCUGUCUGGGUGCUACUGGGGAAACUGGCCAUGGCCUGCAAACUGGGAACCCCUUCCCCACCCCCACCCGCUCUCCUCUUCCAUUCACUCUCCCCCUUCUGAGCUCAGCCCCUGGAGAUUGAUCUGGAUGGGGCAGGCCACCUGGCCCUCACCUCUAUGUCCCCACACCAGUGUGAUCCGAGUCAGGUCCAUGUCUUCUGCUCCAUGGGAUGAGAUGAGGCCGUUGUGUCCCUCCCUACCUGGAGCUGUUUCCCAGCGCAUUUGUCGGGGCCUCGACUGGCUCUUUCCAUCUCCCGACACCCCUCUCCCCCUCCCCCGGGCAUUCUAGACCUCUGGGUUGGUUGGGAUCAGGGUCAUGAGUGGAAGGGAUGGAAGCCUAGGUGGGCUUCUGGGGCCUGGGAAGGGCAGUCUUCACAUUGGGGUAGGGAGUGGACAGGAGGCUCUAGCAUCUCCUUGAGCUCCUGGCCCUUCCUCCAACACCUGUCAUCCCAGCUGCCUAGAUUCAGGGAAAGUGGGAUAGCUUUGGGGGGAGGGGCCCCCUUCCGCAAAUCCUUCCUCAUUGGCAAUGCCCCUUCUCCUUUGCUGACCCUGGGUGUCAUGGGAAUUGGAGUCUCUCAAUCCCACGAUUUGGGGGUUUGCAGGUUCUUUGGGCCAAGGAGCUGAGAUCUGAAGGCUUGACUUCACCCAGCUUGGGUGGAAGUGUUGAGGAGUAUCCACCCACCUUUAGAUCUCAGACCAGAGAUGGGAUGCCCUGGGGAGAUCCUUAGCUGCCCUUUUUCCUCUCCCCACAGUGCUCAAGGCCAGCCUACAGUCCAUAUGUCACCCAGACAUUAAGGAAAAGACACAUUUUUUAGGAAAUGUUUUUAAUAAAAGAAAAUUACAAAAAAAAAAAUUUUAAAGACCCCCCCCAACCCCUUUGUGUGCCGCCCCCCCCACUCUGCUCCUUUCUUCCCCAAUGUUGCUCCCAUUUCUGAGGUGCACUGGGAGGCUCCCCUUCUGUUUGGGGCUUGAUGACUUUUCUUUUUGUAGCUGAGGCUUUGGUGUUCCUUCUGGUGUCAUUUCCCAUCCACAUACCCGCAUCUGGUCCCCUCAGUGUCGUCACCAGAUCAGAUUUGUAACCCACCGAGAGGCCAGAGGGAAUUAAGCGCCCUCUCCCAACCUCUUUCUAGUGGUCUCUCUGCCUCUUCCGUCUCUUGUCUCUUUCACCCUUGCCCCUCUCCCUUGGGCUCUGAUGAAAAAUUGCUGACUGUAGCUUUGAAGUUUAGCUCUGAGAACCGUAGAUGAUUUCAGUUAUAGGAAAAUAAAACCCAUUGAUUACUA